rnacentral:rRNA from 1 species
AGGUUAAGCUGGAAAGGGCGCACGGUGGAUGCCUUGGCACUAGGAGCCGAUGAAGGACGGGGCAAACGCCGAAACGCUUCGGGGAGCUGUAAGCAAGCGUUGAUCCGGAGAUGUCCGAAUGGGGGAACCCACUGUCCGUAAUGGGGCAGUAUCCAUGCCUGAAUCCAUAGGGCAUGGAGGGCACACCCGGGGAACUGAAACAUCUUAGUACCCGGAGGAGAAGAAAGCAACCGCGAUUCCCNGUCCUCUUGGGGUUGUAGGACCGCUCACGAUGGGAGUGAGAAAGGGACGGGGUAGACGAACCGGUCUGGAACGGCCGGCCAGAGAAGGUGAGAGCCCUGUAGUCGAAACUUCGUUCCCUCCCGAGCGGAUCCUGAGUACGGCGGGACACGAGGAAUCCCGUCGGAAGCAGGGAGGACCAUCUCCCAAGGCUAAAUACUCCCUAGUGACCGAUAGUGCACCAGUACCGUGAGGGAAAGGUGAAAAGCACCCCGGGAGGGGAGUGAAAGAGAACCUGAAACCGUGUGCCUACAAGUAGUCAGAGCCCGUUGAUGGGUGAUGGCGUGCCUUUUGUAGAAUGAACCGGCGAGUGACGAUGGCGUGCGAGGUUAAGCCGAAGAGGCGGAGCCGCAGCGAAAGCGAGUCUGAACAGGGCGUGUGAGUACGUCGUCGUCGACCCGAAACCAGGUGAUCUACCCAUGUCCAGGGUGAAGGCCGGGUAACACCGGCUGGAGGCCCGAACCCACGCACGUUGAAAAGUGCGGGGAUGAGGUGUGGGUAGGGGUGAAAUGCCAAUCGAACUUGGAGAUAGCUGGUUCUCCCCGAAAUAGCUUUAGGGCUAGCCUCGGGUUUNNNNNNNNNNNNNNNNNNNNNNNNNNNNNNNNNNGCGAGUGAUAAGAUCCGUGGUCGAGAGGGGAACAGCCCAGACCGCCAGCUAAGGCCCCGAAGUGCACGUUCAGUGGAAAAGGAUGUGGAGUUGCCGAGACAACCAGGAUGUUGGCUUAGAAGCAGCCACCAUUUAAAGAGUGCGUAAUAGCUCACUGGUCGAGUGACUCUGCGCCGAAAAUGUACCGGGGCUAAACGUGCCGCCGAAGCUGCGGGAUGACCGUUGGUCAUCGGUAGGGGAGCGUUCUAAGGGCAGAGAAGCCAGACCGGAAGGACUGGUGGAGCGCUUAGAAGUGAGAAUGCCGGUAUGAGUAGCGAAAACAGAGGUGAGAAUCCUCUGCGCCGAAAGCCUAAGGGUUCCUGAGGAAGGUUCGUCCACUCAGGGUUAGUCGGGACCUAAGCCGAGGCCGAAAGGCGUAGGUGAUGGACAACAGGUUGAGAUUCCUGUACCACCUUCUUCCCGUUUGAGCGAUGGGGGGACGCAGGAGGAUAGGGCGAGCAGGCGGCUGGAAGAGCCUGUCCAAGCCGUGAGGCUGAUCCGCAGGCAAAUCCGCGGAUCAUAAGGCNAUCCGGAAGUCCCCGAUUUCACACUGCCAAGAAAAGCCUCUAGCGAGGGAAGAGGUGCCCGUACCGCAAACCGACACAGGUAGGCGAGGAGAGAAUCCUAAGGCGCGCGGGAGAACUCUCGUUAAGGAACUCGGCAAAAUGACCCCGUAACUUCGGGAGAAGGGGUGCUCUUUGGGGUGAAGAGCCCUGAAGAGCCGCAGUGAAAAGGCCCAAGCGACUGUUUAUCAAAAACACAGGUCUCUGCGAAGCCGAAAGGCGACGUAUAGGGGCUGACACCUGCCCGGUGCUGGAAGGUUAAGGGGAGCGCUUAGCGGAAGCGAAGGUGCGAACCGAAGCCCCAGUAAACGGCGGCCGUAACUAUAACGGUCCUAAGGUAGCGAAAUUCCUUGUCGGGUAAGUUCCGACCCGCACGAAAGGUGUAACGACUUGGGCGCUGUCUCAACGAGAGACCCGGUGAAAUUAUACUACCUGUGAAGAUGCAGGUUACCCGCGACAGGACGGAAAGACCCCGUGGAGCUUUACUGCAGCCUGAUAUGGAAUUUUGGUAUCGCUUGUACAGGAUAGGUGGGAGCCUGGGAAGCCGGAGCGCCAGCUUCGGUGGAGGCGGCGGUGGGAUACCACCCUGGCGGUAUUGAAAUUCUAACCCGCACCCCUUAGCGGGGUGGGAGACAGUGUCAGGUGGGCAGUUUGACUGGGGCGGUCGCCUCCCAAAAGGUAACGGAGGCGCCCAAAGGUUCCCUCAGAAUGGUUGGAAAUCAUUCGGAGAGUGCAAAGGCACAAGGGAGCUUGACUGCGAGACGGACAGGUCGAGCAGGGACGAAAGUCGGGCUUAGUGAUCCGGUGGUUCCGCAUGGAAGGGCCAUCGCUCAACGGAUAAAAGCUACCCCGGGGAUAACAGGCUGAUCUCCCCCAAGAGUCCACAUCGACGGGGAGGUUUGGCACCUCGAUGUCGGCUCAUCGCAUCCUGGGGCUGUAGUCGGUCCCAAGGGUUGGGCUGUUCGCCCAUUAAAGCGGUACGCGAGCUGGGUUCAGAACGUCGUGAGACAGUUCGGUCCCUAUCCGUCGCGGGCGGAGGAAAUUUGAGAGGAGCUGUCCUUAGUACGAGAGGACCGGGAUGGACGCACCGCUGGUGUACCAGUUGUCCCGCCAGGGGCACCGCUGGGUAGCUAUGUGCGGACGGGAUAAGCGCUGAAAGCAUCUAAGCGUGAAGCCCCCCUCAAGAUGAGAUUUCCCACCGCGNUGGGCUGUUCGCCCAUUAAAGCGGUACGCGAGCUGGGUUCAGAACGUCGUGAGACAGUUCGGUCCCUAUCCGUCGCGGGCGGAGGAAAUUUGAGAGGAGCUGUCCUUAGUACGAGAGGACCGGGAUGGACGCACCGCUGGUGUACCAGUUGUCCCGCCAGGGGCACCGCUGGGUAGCUAUGUGCGGACGGGAUAAGCGCUGAAAGCAUCUAAGCGUGAAGCCCCCCUCAAGAUGAGAUUUCCCACCGCGCAAAGCGGGUAAGAUCCCUCGAAGAUGACGAGGUCGAUAGGUCCGAGGUGGAAGAAAAGCGAGCCG